rnacentral:rRNA from 1 species
GAUGAACGCUAGCGGCAGGCCUAAUACAUGCAAGUCGAGGGGUAUGGGUUGCUUGCAACCCAGAGACCGGCGCACGGGUGCGUAACGCGUAUGCAAUCUACCUUAAUCAGGGGGGAUAGCCCGGAGAAAUCCGGAUUAACACCGCAUAACAUUGAGUUGUGGCAUCCCAGUUCAAUCAAAUAUUUAUGGGAUUAAGAUGAGCAUGCGUGACAUUAGUUAGUUGGUGAGGUAACGGCUCACCAAGACCACGAUGUCUAGGGGAUCUGAGAGGAUGACCCCCCACACUGGUACUGAGACACGGACCAGACUCCUGCGGGAGGCAGCAGUAAGGAAUAUUGGGCAAUGGGCGCAAGCCUGAACCAGCCAUGCCGCGUGCAGGAAGACGGCCCUAUGGGUUGUAAACUGCUUUUGUACCGGAAUAAACCUUCUCUUGCGAGAGAAGCUGAACGUACGGGAAGAAUAAGGAUCGGCUAACUCCGUG